AUUGAACGCUGGCGGCAGGCCUAACCCAUGCAAGUCGAACGAGUGGCGGACGGGUGAGUAAUGUCUGGGAAACUGCCUGAUGGCGGGGGAUAACUACUGGAAACGGUAGCUAAUACCGCAUACCAUCGGAUGUGCCAAGAUGGGUUUAGCUGGUAGGUGGGGUAACGGCUCACCUAGGAGACGAUCCCUAGCUGGUCUGAGAGGUUGACCAGCCACGCGGGAACUGGAAAACGGUCCAGACUCCUCCGGUGGGCAGCAUGGGGUAAUAUUGCACAAUGGGGGCAAGCCUGAUGCAGCCAUGCCGCGUGUAUGAAGAAGGCCUUCGGGUUGUAAAGUACUUUCAGCGGGGAGGCGUUACCCGCAGAAGAAGCACCGGCUAACUCCGUGCCAGCCGCCGCGGUAAUAC
rnacentral:rRNA from 1 species